rnacentral:rRNA from 1 species
UAGCUAGUUGGUGAGGUAAAGGCUUACCAAGGCGACGAUCUGUAGCGGGUCUGAGAGGAUGAUCCGCCACACUGGAACUGAGACACGGUCCAGACUCCUACGGGAGGCAGCAGUGGGGAAUUUUGGACAAUGGGGGCAACCCUGAUCCAGCCAUGCCGCGUGAGUGAAGAAGGCCUUCGGGUUGUAAAGCUCUUUCGGCCGGGAAGAAAUCGCAUGGGCCAAUACCCUGUGUGGAUGACGGUACCGGAAUAAGAAGCACCGGCUAACUACGUGCCAGCAGCCGCGGUAAUACGUAGGGUGCGAGCGUUAAUCGGAAUUACUGGGCGUAAAGCGUGCGCAGGCGGUUUUGUAAGACAGGCGUGAAAUCCCCGGGCUUAACCUGGGAACUGCGUUUGUGACUGCAAGGCUAGAGUACGGCAGAGGGGGGUGGAAUUCCACGUGUAGCAGUGAAAUGCGUAGAGAUGUGGAGGAACACCAAUGGCGAAGGCAGCCCCCUGGGUCGAUACUGACGCUCAUGCACGAAAGCGUGGGUAGCAAACAGGAUUAGAUACCCUGGUAGUCCACGCCCUAAACUAUGUCAACUAGGUGUUGGGUGGGUAAAACCAUUUAGUACCGUAGCUAACGCGUGAAGUUGACCGCCUGGGGAGUACGGCCGCAAGGUUAAAACUCAAAGGAAUUGACGGGGACCCGCACAAGCGGUGGAUGAUGUGGAUUAAUUCGAUGCAACGCGAAAAACCUUACCUACCCUUGACAUGCCAGGAACUUGCCAGAGAUGGCUUGGUGCCCGAAAGGGAGCCUGGACACAGGUGCUGCAUGGCUGUCGUCAGCUCGUGUCGUGAGAUGUUGGGUUAAGUCCCGCAACGAGCGCAACCCUUGUCGUUAAUUGCCAUCAUUUAGUUGGGCACUUUAACGAGACUGCCGGUGACAAACCGGAGGAAGGUGGGGAUGACGUCAAGUCCUCAUGGCCCUUAUGGGUAGGGCUUCACACGUCAUACAAUGGUCGGUACAAAGGGUUGCCAAGCCGCGAGGCGGAGCCAAUCCCAGAAAGCCGAUCGUAGUCCGGAUUGCAGGCUGCAACUUGCCUGCAUGAAGUCGGAAUCGCUAGUAAUCGUGGAUCAGCAUGUCACGGUGAAUACGUUCCCGGGUCUUGUACACACCGCCCGUCACACCAUGGGAGCGGGUUCCGCCAGAAGUAGGUAGCCUAACCGCAAGGGGGGCGCUUACCACGGCGGGGUUCGUGACUGGGGUGAAGUCGAAACAAGGUAGCCGUAGGGGAACCUGCGGCUG